GGGGAUGUAGCUCAGUGGUAGAGCACAUGCUUUGCAUGUAUGGGGUCCUGGGUUUGAUUCCCGGCAUCUCCA
rnacentral:tRNA from 1 species